ensembl:lncRNA
GUUUUCCUCAGUUCAUUCACGUGUGUACAGAGUUGUUGUAUAAUUAAGGAGCGUUGUUUUUUCUCCUUCCGUGACUAUUUGUUCCGAUGUCUUGGGCGUUUUGUGGUAUUGUACCUGACCCAUUGGCCUAUUAAAGACGCUACUUUGAACAUCUCUGCUCUCCUGCGCGUGACUACCUUCACUAACCUCAAGUACAGUUUCACAACAGGAUGACUCUAGAAGCUCGCCCAUGGCAACGCAAUAAAACACCUUAAUAAAGGCCACUUUGGAGAAUACUGUGGUAGCAUGUGCAUGCAAAAGACUGCUUACAACAAUUAAACCUCUUCUGCAAAAGUACUUUUGCAACCAAUGUAAUAAUAACACUUACGGCAGUACGGAAUAAUACUACAUACGAUAAACAAUAUGCAAAGAAGCAUUGGUAACUCUAACUGUCACGACUCCGACCGAAGGACACUCCCCUUCCCGUUCGGGUGGCGCUCGGCGGUCGUCAUCGCCGGCCUACUAGCUGCUACUGAUUAUUUCCUCCCCCUCCUUAUGUGUUGAUUGUGUGCACCUGUUUUGAGUUAGGUAGUAGGCUUUAUUAGUCAGCCGGCCCGCAGGGUUCCUUGUGCGGGAUUAAUUAUUGUGAUCGUCUGUUUGGUGUACUUAUGUGCACCUCUAUUUGGGUUUUGUCUUUUCCCAUUUUGUGGGUUUUCCCUGGACGGUUUAAGUCCCCCUGUUUGGGGCAUUUGUUUGUUCAGUACGCCCUGUGUUUUUGUGAGGGUUGGCUUAUGUUCAGCGUUUGUGUCAGUGCAUUAAAAUAGCACUCCCCUGAACUCUCUGCUUCCUGCGCCUGACUCCUCACCCACUACACUCAGACCGUUACACUAACGUUAAAGAAUAGUAGCAGCAAUGCGGUAGAACACAGAGGAAGAAUAUGAUAGACAAUGUUAGCUGUAUGUUAUUCUUCAAUAACACAGGCCCCAAAGCAAAUCAGGGGGAGAAAAUAGAUUUAUUUGAGAAGGACAAAUCAUAGAUGCUAUGCUGAAAUGUAGGUGUUCAAUCUCUCUUGUCUUCAGUUUUUCUCCACAGAACAAAGGAACAGAAUGCCAUUCAUAACCCCCCCACCCUAGCCUGGAGUUGACCAAUCAGAAGUCCUUGCAGUACAACUGGGCCAAUGGCCAAAUAACAAGUAUCCUGCUCCCGACUCAAUGUACAGACCAAUGAAAAUGUGGCACACGUAGCUCUGAGUCCAGAACUGACAUUGCACAGAUUCUAAACAGCUGUUGAACUGAAAAACCAACUCCUAUUGAUCGUUACUUCUUGUCCUCUCAUCCUCUGCGUUGUGUAUUCAUCUUCAAAAUAUUCUUAUAACAAUCAAACUCUCUCCUUGAGCGUUUCUUCUGGAGAGGAUACCCUCUCUUCUGGAGAGGAUCCCCUCUCUUCUGGAGAGGAUCCCUGGCUUGAUGAAGCUCCACAACACAUUAAAACCUUGAACAGAAGACAGUUACUUAACUCCACACGGUUUAAACAAAUAAUUAGAUUUCACCUUACUAUACGCUACAUUUUAGACUGUUAUACAAGAACACUGUCCAUAUCCAACUUUGCAUACAGAGUAUGAGUUGGCCCCACAUAUUUAUGAAUGGCUUUGCCUGAUGUCCUUGGUGGUAGGCCAUCUCAUGAAUUAAUAUGAUGUAUUUAGGUGAGCGGACAACUGGGUCGGUUGAUUUGUGAGUUGCCCUUCGUGCCUGCCCCCAUGCCCUAUAAUUCUGUAUUUCUUUGUGACUAACUUGUAUACAGGUAGACCAGAAAAGCCACAUCCCGAAUUGGCAGAUGAGCAGCAACCCUGAUUAGAAGCACCUGCUGCUCAAUGCUGUUUUGAAUUCAAAUAAAAUUGUACCUAAACACUGAAGGCUGUAAAGAAACACAGAGGAUGGUGGCAGUUAUAUUGUCUUAAGUCGGAGACCUACAAGAUCAACAAGAGAAUGGGUGGAGAUUGGUCAAAAGAUCGAGCGGAUCAGGCAGAGAGAGACCGCGAUCAAGCCAAAACUGAUAAACAGAAAGCGGAGGAGGACAAACAGAACAUGGAGAAGGAAAAGAAAAAGACAGAAGAGGAUUACAGGCAGCUCUUUGCUGAGAAAGUGAGAAUGGAAACAGAACAAAAGAUGGAAGAAAAACAAAGACAGGAGCUUGAGAAGGAAACUCUAAAAGUAAUAGAACACAAUAGACAGCGAGAGAAAAAUGAAAAGACAAGAAUUCAGCUGGAAAAUGCAAAAGGAGAUCAAAAAACUGUAUGAAAUGUAUCCACAUAUUAAGAGACAAAUGCAUAAACGGUUAAAUGAUCCACAUAAUGAAUUAUUGGACAAGGCACACAAUCAUUGUAAACCUUUAAUAUCCACAAUUGCGCUGCCUGUUUUAUUUUCCCCAAAUGAUGUUGUUAAAGGGAUAGUUCACACAAAUGACAGUGGUUUAAUAACCCUGUUAGCCGUUUUUGUUUACCUGGCUGCUGCCACCAAAUGCUUUUCAAACCAAUGCCUGUCAAUAUCUGAGAAUCCUCUGUAGCUUUGCAAUAAAAAGAUUCUAUUGAUG